ACGAACGCUGGCGGCGUGCUUAACACAUGCAAGUCGAACGGUGAAGGGGUCUGCUUUUGUGGGCCCUGGAUGAGUGGCGAACGGGUGAGUAACACGUGAGUAACCUGCCCCCUUCUUCUGGAUAACCGCAUGAAAGGGUGGCUAAUACGGGAUAUUCUGGGUCUGUCGCAUGAUGGGUCUGGGAAAGAUUGCGCCUUUGGGUGUUUUUGGUGGGGGAUGGGCUCGCGGCCUAUCAGCUUGUUGGUGGGGUGAUGGCCUACCAAGGCGGUGACGGGUAGCCGGCCUGAGAGGGUGGACGGUCACACUGGGACUGAGACACGGCCCAGACUCCUACGGGAGGCAGCAGUGGGGAAUAUUGCACAAUGGGCGCAAGCCUGAUGCAGCGACGCCGCGUGAGGGAUGGAGGCCUUCGGGUUGUAAACCUCUUUCGCCAGUGAAGCAGGCCUGCUCCUUGUGGGUGGGUUGACGGUAGCUGGAUAAGAAGCGCCGGCUAACUACGUG
rnacentral:rRNA from 1 species